ensembl:lncRNA
UUACAACACCUCAUCAACACUUGACAUAACAUCUUCUGUAAGCAUUACAGAGAUAUGGCUCUGAAUAUAUAUACAGUAACACCUCCCCAUAAGCAUUCCUGUCUCUUCUAUAGAUGUUAUAUCCUUUUAUUGCUAUAUCAUCAAAUUAAUUAUCUAAGUGAGUCUCAGAAAUGGCUAUUAUAUGAAUCUUCUCAUCUUAUUUGGGCUCCCAAGUGGCACAGCGGUCUAAGGCACUGCAUCUCAGUGCUAGAGGUAUCACUACAGACCGAUUCCAGGCUGUGAUUGGGAGUCCCAUAGGGUGGCAAACAAUUGGCCCAAGUCAUCCGGGUUAGGGUUUGGCCGGGGUAGGCAGUCAUUGUAAAUAAGAAUUUGUUCUUAACUGACUUGCCAAGUUAAAUAAAGUUUUUUUUUUUUUAAACAUCUGAUGUUAGCAAGUUAUUGACUUCAUGAACCUUAUUUCUAAGGUUACAUAUAUUAAUAUGGGCUGUUUUCAGUCCUGUCCUGGGUAGCUUAUCAGAAAUAGACCAUAUGGAAGCACCAACAAAGCCAGAUAAAAAUAAAAAUAAAUAACAUACAGUGCUGGUCAUUAUUUGUUAUAAAAUACCAAAAUAAACUAAAUCCUUAUCGAAACCCUAAAUCAUAAUACCGACAUUCCAAGUAAAAAUGAAUAUAUAUAUAUAUAUUUAUAUUGUUUAUUGAACAAAAGUAGUUUAACAGAAACUCAGAUUUGAUGUGCAAAAAUGUGACCUCCUUCAGUCAAUAGCUUGUGGCACCUCCAUUAGCAGUGAUAACUUGGAGUAAACAUCUCCUAUAGCCAGUAAUCAGUCUCAUGAUUUUUGCCCACUCUUCCUUACAGGUUUAAGGGGUGUCUGGCAUGAACUGCCCGCUUCAGGUCCUGCCACAGUAUCUCGAUUGGAUUUAGGUCAGGACUUUGGCUUGGCCAAUCCAAAAAAGGUCCAUUUUGGACUCGUCGGCCCAGAGACUUCCAGAAACCUUCAGGUUUGUCCAGGUGGUCUCUGGCAAACUUAAGAUGGGCAGUUUGGUUCUUUGAUAGCAGAGGCUUCUUCUUAGCAACCAUCCCAUGAAUGGCAUUUCAAUUCCGUGUUAUUCUUAUUGUCACCUGAGCUGCAACAAGGGAAGUCUGCAAAUCUAUAGAUGUUAUGUUUGGGUUGGUUUUUACCCUAUUUAUUAUUGUUCUUGUGGCUCUUGGGGAUAUUUUGGAAGGGCGUCCACUUCUAAGCCGAGUUGCUGACAUGUUAAAUGCUCUCCAUUUGUAAAUUAUUUACCUGACAGUGGACUGAUGAAGCUCAUAUCUUUUUGAGAUGAUUUUAUAGCCUUCCCCAGACUGAUGUCCUCUGAGAUCUCCUUUCCUCUCGGCAUGGUGUGCAUUGUAUUCACCUGGAUGGGUAACACCAAACUGACCAAGUUUCUUACCUCUAUCAGAGUCCCGCCCAAACGAUCUCUCCUUUGAUUGGUUCAUUUGGUAUCAAAUUAUUUACCCACCUGAUUCUACUUAACUACUUAAUUUAACCAAUGCAACUUGGGUUCACUUAUUUUUGCACCUGCACUAAUUCCUUUUUAUUUUUUUUUACUACAUGCAUGAUUCUCUACACCAACAUAUGGUAUUGGUAAAUAUACAGGGAAGCAAACUGGUGAGGGCCCACUGAAACAUGCGAAACAUCUCUGCUCUAAUUAAACAACAAAGAAUAUGAUCUACAUGAUCAGUCUCGGUGUGUAAAAUAAAAAAGUGGUUCAUAUGAACCCAACUCACAGCUAAAAAAAUGUAACGAAAGCAAUCCAAUGUUAUUUGUUGCCUAGACUUUACUGAAAAUGACAAGUCUUGAGAAAGAACAAUACACUAAUAUUGCAGUUAGCCAUGAAGGCUUUUAUAAUAGAAUGCUUGUGACCACACACCCUUAGGGAGGGGGGGGAGUAGAAAUACAAUGAAACAAACAGGCAUUCUAUUUUUGCUCUAUUAUAGAUAUCGAUCAAGUGCACAAGGCUACAUGUGCAAAAAUAACAUUCACUUAGUAAAACAUUUCAAUAAUCCCCCCCUCACUCUCAUGUUACUGUCAAGUUCAACACAACUAAAGCAAUAUCUUUGGCCUACACUGCACAUUUAUUACAUUGUAUACUUUCUGCCUGUGGACAUCUGUUCUACAAUGUGCCAGCAGAGCAUGAUACCCUUUGUUAGCAUAAUUGAUCUAUUUCAGGCAGAGAUUACACCUGGCAUACCCCAUUUUAUCCACGGUAUUAAAAAGACAGAGGUAAAGUUGGUUUUAAAUCCACACAUUCGCCAAAAGCCAUUUUAAAAUAGUAAAAAUCAAUAUGGUGGACAGCCCCAUCAAGAGGUAAGGACAGCCCCAUCAAGAGGAUCCACCUGGUGAUGUAUUUUGGGAGAGUGGUAAGCAGCCUGAAACUCCUGAAACCUAUAGCAGUAGCCAUUACACGGAUGAGGGAGACAAUGCCAUCCUGUCUGAUGUUCAGACUCUGCUUGCAGAUGUAAGAGAAUAAAUUCGUACUGCCCUGCCCACUUCACUGUUGCUCCAAGCAGAGGAAACUGCAGUUCUGAAAUACAUCAAAAAGACUUCUGCCUGAAGCUCAUACAUGCCGCAGCAUGCAUGUUGGAUGCCACGUAUGCUGGCAAGAAUAUCCUGUCUGGUGCAGAGAUCAACAAGGCCUAUGGUGUCAUCACUACCGUGUCUCGCCACUUUGGCCUGGAUGAGGGCAAGGUUCUUGGCAGUCUGGCAAAGUACACUUCCAAGCAAGGGCAUCGGGAUGCAGAUGCAAAAUGGCAGUGGUGCCAACAUAUCUCAUCAGCUACCUGGUGGAAGGGACUUUGUGGAUCUGAGGCUCUUUCCCCUGUUGCCUCCAUCCCCCUCCAAAUCCCACCAACAUCAGCUGCCUCAGAGCGCAACUGGUCCUUGUUUGGGAACACACACACCCAAGCACUCAGACUGACCAAUACAAGGGUUGAACAAUUGGUGGCCAGCCGGGCAAAUUUGAAGCUUUUUGAGCCUGACAUCAAGCCAUCCUUAACUAGGUUGGAAAGUGACAGUGAAGAUGAGGCCUUAGAGUCUGAUGUUCAAGAGCUGGAUAUUGAAGAGGUCCAGGGAGAAGACAUGGAACCCUGAGAGGAUGACAACCAAAGCUUUAGUUUCUAGACUAUCAUUUUACAGACGUAUGUUGAAAACAUUUUUGGGAGAUGUGAUCUUUUCUUUUGUUGUUCAGUGAAGUCAUCUCCUUUAAUUAAAGUAAAAUUUGUAACUAAAUGGUUGUUUUUUUCUAUUGGAAGGAUUUAAUCAUUUGCAAUUAUGUCUUCUUAUGGAAAGGUCAAAUGGUUUGUUUGUCUCCAUAUGAUAUGGUAAAUAUAUCCAAUGCAAAAAAACAUCCACAUUUAUUAUUAAUAUUAAUUAGCAUAUUUCCCAUAUAUUCCCAUGGAAAGUUUCCCAAAAUGUGCAGCUCUUACUUGAUUGAAACACCGGAUUGGCCUCUCAUACCACAAUGCUGUAUGUCUGUCAGCAUAAACUGCAGCACUAACUCACCUCUGUUCCCUGCUGGCCUGGGGUGUAAUCAUAAAUCCUAAACAUUUUGCAACGGAAAUCAUUUACUCAAAACGGAAUACGUUUUGCAACAAUACAAGACUUUAUGUUGAAUAAAUUCAAGUAUGUCCUUUCCCG